CUGAUGGAGGGACUGUGCUACCCUUGGGUGAUCUGGAUCCAGUGCAGUCUCCCGAAUUUCCAGAGAACGCUGCAGAGGAGCAACUGCCUGUAAUAAAGGAGUUGAGACUGUGACUAGAGCAGAAUCUAGAGCCACAGGAACAGGGAAACCUCAGAAAGAAGAUGCUUUCUCUUAACUGUCUGUGCCAGAAAAUCUAAAGUCUGAGGGAAGAUUUGUUAGAAGAAACUAGCUUAAGAAAUGCUCCUGGAAAUGAUUUCCAUUUUCUACUGGAAAAUGAACAACUUGAAAGAAGUACCCCAUUGUUUCACAUAUUCUUUGAAGUUUUGGUGUGAAAUUGGCAAAAGCUGAUGAAAUGGCACAGAAGGUGCCAGGAUGUUGAGCAACAGUAAAUUUUCUCCUUUCAAUGACCUGCAAUGAGUUUCAUAUCAGCAGACAUCUGCAUCUAGGCAGAACUUACCCACAGAGAGUUCACUGAAGGAUCAGGGCCAAAGAGAUCACUUUAGAUUUUCUUGGUCAUUUUCCUUGGGGAUAAAGUGAAGAUGCUUACCUUGAAU